rnacentral:rRNA from 1 species
GAUGAACGCUGGCGGCGUGCCUAAUACAUGCAAGUCGAGCGAACGGACGAGAAGCUUGCUUCUCUGAUGUUAGCGGCGGACGGGUGAGUAACACGUGGAUAACCUACCUAUAAGACUGGGAUAACUUCGGGAAACCGGAGCUAAUACCGGACGAUAUUUUGAACCUCAUGGUUCAAAAGUGAAAGACGGUCUUGCUGUCACUUAUAGAUGGAUCCGCUCUGCAUUAGCUAGUUGGUAAGGUAACGGCUUACCAAGGCAACGAUGCAUAGCCGACCUGAGAGGAUGAUCGGCCACACGGGAACUGAGACGCGGUCCAGAAUCCUACGGGAGGCAGCAGUAGGGAAUCUUCCGCAAUGAGCGGAAGCCUGACGGAGCAACGCCGCGUGAGUGAUGAAGAUCUUCGGAUCGUAAACCUCUGUUAUUAGGGGAGAACAUAUGUGUAAGUGACUGUGCACAUCUUGACGGUACCUAAUCAGAAAGCCACGGCUAACUACGUG